rnacentral:rRNA from 1 species
UACGGAGGGGGCUAGCGUUGUUCGGAAUUACUGGGCGUAAAGCGCGCGUAGGCGGCUUUGUAAGUUAGAGGUGAAAGCCCGGGGCUCAACUCUGGAAUUGCCUUUAAGACUGCAUCGCUAGAAUUGUGGAGAGGUAAGUGGAAUUCCGAGUGUAGAGGUGAAAUUCGUAGAUAUUCGGAAGAACACCAGUGGCGAAGGCGACUUACUGGACACAUAUUGACGCUGAGGUGCGAAAGCGUGGGGAGCAAACAGG